GCUACAUGGUGUAAAUUUGGAAUAAACCAGUUACCUUUACCAGCACUUUGCUGUCUGAUCUGCACAACAUAUGCAAAACAGCAAGGCAGUGAGAAGUGGCCUGAAGAGUAGAACACUGAUAUUUUCUUAAAUCAAGGAUUGUCCCGGAAGUUUCAUAUGCUGAAGUGCUCAGAAAGCAAAGCUCAGAGCAAGUGUCUGCAGUGAAGCAUCUGCAAAGAAGAAACUUCUGAACGGUUGCAGACCUCGGGAAUUCUGCAAGUGUAUUGAACUGCAGUGCUGCACACUUCUAACCUUCAGAAGUACAUUCAGUUAUGCUACAAAAACUUUUCUCUGUGUCUGGAUGAAUAAGGCUCAACAGAGUUUUAGUUAU